rnacentral:rRNA from 1 species
UACGGGGGGGGCAAGCGUUGUUCGGAAUUACUGGGCGUAAAGGGUUCGUAGGUGGCUUGUUAAGUCAGACGUGAAAUCCCUCGGCUCAACCGGGGAACUGCGUCUGAGACUGAUGAGCUCGAGUGCAGGAGAGGAACGCGGAAUUCCAGGUGUAGCGGUGAAAUGCGUAGAUAUCUGGAGGAAUACCGGUGGCGAAGGCGGCAUCCUGGACCGACAUUGACGCUGAUGAGCGAAAGCUAGGGGAGCAAACGGGG